CCUACGGGAGGCAGCAGUGGGGAAUUGUUCGCAAUGGGCGCAAGCCUGACGACGCAACGCCGCGUGGAGGAUGAAGACCUUCGGGUCGUAAACUCCUUUCGAUCGAGACGAAUGUUUUCCGGGUGAACAAUCCGGAAAAGUGACGGUACCGAGAGAAGAAGCCCCGGCUAACUCUGUGCCAGCAGCCGCGGUAAUACAGGGGGGGCAAGCGUUGUUCGGAAUUACUGGGCGUAAAGGGCUUGUAGGUGGCCAACUAAGUCAGACGUGAAAUCCCUCAGCUUAACUGGGGAACUGCGUCUGAUACUGGAUGGCUUGAGUUUGGGAGAGGGAUGCGGAAUUCCAGGUGUAGCGGUGAAAUGCGUAGAUAUCUGGAGGAACACCGGUGGCGAAGGCGGCAUCCUGGACCAACACUGACACUGAGGAGCGAAAGCCAGGGGANCAAACGGGAUUAGAUACCCCGGGUAGUCCUGGCCCUAAACGAUGAAUGCUUGGUGUGGCGGGUAUCGAUCCCUGCCGUGCCGAAGCUAACGCAUUAGCAUUCCGCCUGGGGAUACGGUCGCAAGGCUGAAACUCAAAGGAUUGACGG
rnacentral:rRNA from 1 species